UACAGAGGGUGCGAGCGUUGUUCGGAAUUAUUGGGCGUAAAGAGCUCGUAGGCGGUUUGUCGCGUCUGCUGUGAAAACUGGAGGCUCAACCUCCAGCCUGCAGUGGGUACGGGCAAACUAGAGUGCAGAAGGGGCAAUCGGAAUUCUCGGUGUAGCGGUGAAAUGCGUAGAUAUCGAGAGGAACACCUGCGGCGAAGGCGGGUUGCUGGGCUGACACUGACGCUGAUGCGCGAAAGCCAGGGGAGCGAACGGG
rnacentral:rRNA from 1 species